rnacentral:lncRNA from 1 species
GUUACUGUUUUUGCUGUUGUUUGCCUGAAAGGUUAAAAUUCAUUUGGGUGAGCUUCCAACGAUGAUUGGUUUCUCUGCAGCCAAUACCUUCCACUGAUUUACACCUGUGACUCUCAAAGUGUGAGCCCUUCAGAUCCACUCAAAGUGGAUGGGUGUGUGUGAUUGGCCAGCCGCAUUGCCAUCACCUGGGACCUGGUUAGGAACACGGGCUCAGCCCCACCUCAGACCUGCUGAGUCAGAAGCACUGGAGGCAGGCCCCCAAGAUCUGCUUUAACAAACUCUCGGAGGGUUCCAAGGCGCGUUACAGUUUGAGACCCGAUGGAUUUGAUUAGAAGAAAAGCAAGAGAUGAGACAGACGUGUCCCCGAAGAAGGGUGUGUCUCCUUCACAGGUGUACCAUCCAUGGAUUCCUGGGAGCUUAGCGGACCCCCCAGCGGAAGAGGCAGGAAAAGGACCUGAGGCACCUAGGCCUGUGCUGGGCAAACCUCAGAUGCAGAAAGGCCUGGAAGGAGAAAGGCGUGUUCGUUUUCAGGAGAGACCUGGAACUCAAGCAGGUGCCGGGGGAAUCACAGGACAGCUUGAUGCAGGGAAUCUCAGACCAAGCACUUUCGUCUCCUUCUCACCAUGCAGGAAAGGAGGAGAAGUGGCAUUCCGGUUUUGGUAAGAAUUAACACACAGCUACCCUCAUCUGGUGAACAGACGAAUUGGGGCUAAAGCUGAAUGGCUGACAUGUCGACAAUCUGAAAUAAAAACAAACCAACCUUGUUUAAGAGUGAAUUUGCUUUGUGCAAACUGUCAAAAAGAAAACAUGGAAAAACCGUCUCCUGCGAAGAGGAAGAAAAGGGUUACGUUUUUGACAAAAUCUG